rnacentral:rRNA from 1 species
UACGUAGGGUGCAAGCGUUUGUCCGGAAUUAUUGGGCGUAAAGAGCUCGUAGGCGGUCUGUCGCGUCUGCUGUGAAAACUCGGGGCUUAACCCCGGGCCUGCAGUGGGUACGGGCAGACUAGAGUGCGGUAGGGGAGACUGGAAUUCCUGGUGUAGCGGUGGAAUGCGCAGAUAUCAGGAGGAACACCGGUGGCGAAGGCGGGUCUCUGGGCAGUAACUGACGUGAGGAGCGAAAGCGUGGGGGAGCGAACAGG